rnacentral:tRNA from 1 species
GCCUGGGUGGCUCAGUCGGUUAAGUGUCUGACUUCGGCUCAGGUCAUGAUCUCACGGUUUGUGGGUUUGAGCCCCACGUCGGGCU